rnacentral:rRNA from 1 species
GACGAACGCUGGCGGCGUGCUUAACACAUGCAAGUCGAACGGAAAGGCCCUGCUUUUGUGGGGUGCUCGAGUGGCGAACGGGUGAGUAACACGUGAGUAACCUGCCCUUGACUUUGGGAUAACUUCAGGAAACUGGGGAGAAAACCGGAUAGGAGCUCCUGCUGCAUGGGGGUGGUUGGAAAGUUUCGGCGGUGGGGGAUGGACUAGCGGGUUAUCAGCUUGUUGGUGGGGUAGUGGCUUACCAAGGCUUUGACGGGUAGCCGGCCUGAGAGGGUGACCGGCCACAUUGGGACUGAGAGACGGCGCAGACUCCUACGGGAGGCAGCAGUGGGGAAUAUUGCACAAUGGGCGGAAGCCUGAUGCAGCAACGCCGCGUGCGGGAUGACGGCCUUCGGGUUGUAAACCGCUUUCGCCUGUGACGAAGCGUGAGUGACGGUAAUGGGUAAAGAAGCACCGGCUAACUACGUG